rnacentral:rRNA from 1 species
GGGGGAUAUUGCACAAUGGAGGAAACUCUGAUGCAGCGACGCCGCGUGAGUGAAGAAGUAUUUCGGUAUGUAAAGCUCUAUCAGCAGGGAAGAUGAUGACGGUACCUGACUAAGAAGCCCCGGCUAACUACGUGCCAGCAGCCGCGGUAAUACGUAGGGGGCAAGCGUUAUCCGGAUUUACUGGGUGUAAAGGGAGCGCAGGCGGUUUGGCAAGUUGAGAGUGGAAGCAGGGGGCUCAACCCCCUGACUGCUCCCAAAACUGUUAAACUUGAGUAUGGGAGAGGCAGGCGGAAUUCCUAGUGUAGCGGUGAAAUGCUUAGAUAUUAGGAAGAACACCGGUGGCGAAGGCGGCCUGCUGGACCAAAACUGACGCUGAGGCUCGAAAGCGUGGGUAGCAAACAGGAUUAGAUACCCUGGUAGUCCACGCUGUAAACGAUGAAUACUAGGUGCUGGGAGGCAUAAGCCUUUCGGUGCCGUCGCAAACGCAUUAAGUAUUCCACCUGGGGAGUACGUUCGCAAGAAUG